rnacentral:misc_RNA from 1 species
GAAAGGUAUAACAUACUUCCAUUUGUUUUUUCAUAUACAAGUGUCUCCCCAUAUAUUUAUUACUCUAUGCUUUGAGGAAAUGUUGUGGGAUCUCUGAAUUGAAGUGAUGCAUGGUGAAACACCAUAUCAUUUUUCAUCCCUUGGCAAGAAACAUUCAUUUGAUAAGCAAACACCAUAUAGGUUCUUGCUUUUUAUUUUUUAAUGUUUUGUUUUCUGUACUGCAUGGUAAAAUAAUGGACUAAGCCAGUCUUCUAGCUUCUUUUCUUUCUAAGAUGGACAAACAGCUGUGUUAAAGUUGGACAUUAUCUGAAUCCCUAUAAAUUACUGCCUAAGUAUUUUAUUAAUAUGUUUGUAUCUCUAUGUCACC